rnacentral:lncRNA from 1 species
CUGGAAGCUGAGGGCACGUGUUUGCGGUUCAGCCCUUUGAUGACCGCAGCAGGUAUGAUCUCGUGAAACCUUGAGAGAAACUGAAUGAGGAAUGAAACUAUUGUUCCUGUUUCACACAGAAGAAAACUGAGGUUGGCACUCAUGAUGAGCCCCUGUUCUCAUUCUGCAAAUGGUGAAGCUCUCUAUCGUCCUGACCCCACAGUUCCUGUCCCAUGACCAGGGCCCGCUCACCAAGGAGCUGCAGCAGCACGUAAAGUCAGUGACAUGCCCAUGCGAGUACCUGAGGAAGGUGAGUGAGUGCAGACAGAUGGGGCCUGGUGCCCUUGAGCAGUUCCCAGGUCUCAGCUGCCACACAUCUCACAGCGGGUGAUGCUGGGGGAAGCUUACGCAGUCACAGUACUGGAUUCUUCCUCUUUUUCUUUCCAUACAAGUGGCUUAGGGAUGGGGUAGAGUAGUUGACUUAUUUGGAUGAAAACCACUAUCUUCUGUCAGAAACUCAAAAGGAAUCAUUGCUGGCAUGGUAACCUAAAGAAAAACAACCAGACAAGUGCCCAACGACACUUAAAAAGGUUAUUUAUUAUCUUGCCAAGUUUAGGCUGGGCAUGGUGACUCAUGCCUGUAAUCCCAGCAUUUUGGGAGGCUGAGGCUGGUGGAUCACCUGAGGCCAGGACUUCGAGACCAGCCUGACCAAUAUGGCAAAACCUCGUCCCUACUAAAAAUACAAAAAUUAGCCGGGCAUGGUGGUGUGAGCCUGUAGUCCCAGCUACUCAGGAGGCUGAGACAGGAGAAUUGCUUAGAUUCAGGAGGUGGAGGUUUUAGUGGGCCGAGAUCACGCCAUUGCACUCCACACUGUGCGACAGAGCGAGACUCUGUCAAAAAAAAAAAAAAAAAAAUUAUCCUGCAAAAUUUG